GAUGAACGCUGGCGGCGUGCCUUAUACAUGCAAUUCGAGCGAACGGACGAGAAGCUUGCUUCUCUGAUGUUAGCGGCUGACGGGUGAGUAACACGUGUAUAACCUACCUAUUAGACUGGGAUAACUUCGGGAAACCGGAGCUUAUGCCGGAUGCUAUUUUGAACCGCAUGGUUCAACAGUGAAAGACGGUCUUGCUGUCACUUAUAGAUGGUUCCGCGCUCGACUAGCUAGUUGGUAAGGUAACGGCUUACCAAGGCAACGAUGCAUAGCCGACCUGAGAGGGUGAUCGGCCACACUGGAACUGAGACACGGUCCAGACUCCUACGGGAGGCAGCAGUAGGGAAUCGUCCGCAAUGGGCGAAAGCCUGACGGAGCAACGCCGCGUGAGUGAUGAAGGUCUUCGGAUCGUAAAACUCUGUUAUUAGGGAAGAACAUAUGUGUAAGUAACUGUGCACAUCUUGACGGUACCUAAUCAGAAAGCCACGGCUAACUACGUG
rnacentral:rRNA from 1 species